CAGCGGGCCCGCGCGGAGGUAUAGGCGGGGGUGGGACGGGGAGCUCCGCUUCCGGUGGCCGGGUUUGGGGAAGGGGCGGCAGUCGCCAUGUCGGGCCGCGAAGGUGGCAAGAAGAAGCCCCUGAAGCAGCCCAAGAAGCAAGCCAAGGAGAUGGAUGAGGAAGAUAAGGCAUUCAAGCAGAAACAGAAGGAGGAGCAAAAAAAACUCGAGGAGCUAAAAGCGAAGGCCGCGGGGAAAGGCCCCCUGGCCACAGGUGGAAUUAAGAAAUCUGGCAAAAAGUAAGCUGUUCCCUAUGCCUGAGGCAAUGAUGAUCCUUAACUCCAUUCCUGUUUAAACAUCUGGAUUCCCUGCCAUAACAUCUGUUGCCACCUAUAGCUAGAAUGAAGUGUUGUGUUGAAACCUAUUGUACAUUUAAGAAUAAACUUUUGUAAAAAAAAAAAAAAAAAACCAAAAAAAAUCAUACAGUGGCUCAUCUUGUCUUUAGUUCUUCUCAGCUAUUUCUACCUUAGCUAUGAGAUCCACAUAAAACCAGCCCAGAAUCCUGCCAAAAUGUCUUCUUAUGUCUUUGUUCUAUCCUGAAUUCUGUACCACCUGGAAUUAAACCAACUCCUUUGAAAUGGC